GAUGAACGCUGGCGGCGUGCCUAAUACAUGCAAGUCGAGCGAACGUACGAGAAGCUUGCUUCUCUGAUGUUAGCGGCGGACGGGUGAGUAACACGUGGAUAACCUACCUUUAAGACUGGGAUAACUUCGGGAAACCGGAGCUAAUACCUGCUAAUAUUUUGAACCGCAUGGUUCAAAAUUGCAUGACGGUCUUGCUGUCACUCAUAGAUGGAUCCGCGGUGCAUUAGCUAGUUGGUAAGGUAACGGCUUACCAAGGCAACGAUGCAUAGCCGACCUAAGAGGGUGAUCGGCCACACUGGAACUGAGACACGGUCCAGACUCCUACGGGAGGCAGCAGUAGGGAAUCUUCCGCAAUGGGCGAAAGCCUGACGGAGCAACGCCGCGUGAGUGAUGAAGGUCUUCGGAUCGUAAAACUCUGUUAUUAGGGAAGAACAUAUGUGUAAGUAACUGUGCACAUCUUGACGGUACCUAAUCAGAAAGCCACGGCUAACUACGUG
rnacentral:rRNA from 1 species